UGAGAACAUAGCAGACGCUUUCCUCUCUAGGCUUGUUUUCUAUUUCUAAGAUUCUUGUUUCUUUAAUACUCAUCUUAGGUUGUUUUCAUAAUUCAAGGAGUCUUGGGGAAAACACAUGGCCUAAACUUGAGUAGAAUCAUAAAAGGAAGGGAAGAAAGAAAAAUAAGUGAGUAAAGCAAAGAUGGAAUAGGAAAUGGAGGACCGAAGGAAGGAAGAUGGAUUUAAAGGAGGUCUGAAUAGGAAUGGAGACACAGAAAGCUAGACAAUGUAUCAUAUCAGCCUUACAAAAUGGAAGUAGUUCAUGGUACAGAUGAAGCUUGGAGAAUGUGUGCAUACUUGCCUGUGGAUGCUGAGGGCAGAAAGCUGCAGCUGUCUUCCUGUACCCUUCUCUGCCUUUUGAAGUUGGGUUUCUCAAUGAACCUGGACAUCAUG